GCAGCGGGGAGGAGCUUGCUUCUCUGCCGGCGAGUGGCGAACGGGUGAGUAAUACAUCGGAACGUGUCGAGAAGAGGGGGAUAACCACCCGAAAGGGUGGCUAAUACCGCAUAAAUUCUGAGGAAGAAAGCUGGGGACCUAGGAAUAGGCCUAGCGCUUUUUGAGCGGCCGAUGUCGGAUUAGCUAGUUGGUGAGGUAAAGGCUCACCAAGGCGAAGAUCUGUAGCGGGUCUGAGAGGAUGAUCCGCCACACUGGGACUGAGACACGGCCCAGACUCCUACGGGAGGCAGCAGUGGGGAAUUUUGGACAGUGGGGGCAACCCUGAUCCAGCCAUGCCGCGUGUAUGAAGAAGGCCUUAGGGUUGUAAAGUACUUUUGUUAGGGAAGAAAAGUCAGCUGUGAAUAAUGGCUGAUACUGACGGUACCUAAAGAAUAAGCACCGGCUAACUACGUGCCAGCAGCCGCGGUAAUACGUAGGGUGCGAGCGUUAAUCGGAAUUAUUGGGCGUAAAGCGAGUGUAGACGGUUAUUUAAGCCAGAUGUGAAAUACCCGAGCCUAACUUGGGAGGUGCAUAUGGAACUGGGUAGCUAGAGUGUGUCAGAGGGAGGUAGAACUCCACGUGUAGCAGUGAAAUGCGUAGAGAUGUGGAAGAAUACCGAUGGCGAAGGCAGCCUCCUGGGAUAACACUGACGUUGAGGCUCGAAAGCGUGGGGAG
rnacentral:rRNA from 1 species